rnacentral:misc_RNA from 1 species
GGAUUUGAUCGAAAGUAAUGAGGUUGCAGGAUUUUGAUCCAUAAUCGUCACUAUCCCAACUGAAAAAGAUCGAUCCGAAAGCGAGUCUCACAAAAACUUCUGAAGCUAUUUUUCCACUUCCAUCCCCACCUACUCCGUUUCUGCUCCACCAAUUUCCUCUCCUCAGAUCCUCAUCUCUCUUUUCUUUGAUUCUCUUCCCCGGAGAUCAAAGAACGAAAGUUGGAGUGAGCAAUUUUCUUCCUGCAAUUAAAC